rnacentral:rRNA from 1 species
UAGUCAAUGCUCGCAAGAGUGAACUAGCUAACUGAAAUCAUAUAUGUGUCAUAUGUGAUAAAAUAAGGGAAAAUAAUGAUAUUACCUUAUUAUUAGUGUUGUCCAAAACUGGUGCCAGAAGACUCGGUAAGGCCAGAGACGCAAACGUUAGUCGUCCUAAUCAGGCGUAAAGGGUUUGUAGGCUGCUUUAAAAGUUUUAUUUUUAAUAUAGCUAAAAUAAAGAUAAGAUCAAUUAAAGCUAGAAUCAAAUAGAGGGUAAACCAAAUAAUACUUAGAGUAGGGCCGAUAUCCAUAAAUACUAAGUGGAAUACUAAAGGUGAAAGCUUUUUAUCUACUAAUGAUUGACGCUGAGAAACGAAGGUGAGGAAAGGAAACAGGAUUAGAUACCCACAUACCCCUCUCUGUCAACGAUGAAUGGUGGCUUGCUAAUUGAAUAAAACAUUAAAAAGUUUAAUGUCAUUAUAAUAAAAAAUUGGUAGCGAUGUUAACACGAUAACCAUUCCGCCUUGUGAGUACGACUGCAAAGUUGAAAACA